rnacentral:lncRNA from 1 species
UGUAUUUUCUACAUUUUUCAUAUGUUGUUGUUAUAUUAAUUUGUGAUAAUCCUCUUCACAGAGAUUUCAUACAAAAACUCCACGAUAAUGGAUUCAAAACAGACAUCAAAUGCUUUCCAGAAGGUCCUUAUUCAACACAUGUUAAUAUAUUUUUUAUGUUUCCACCCGAAGAAAUGUAUUUUUAUAUAAGUAUUGAUAAUUCAACUGUCACCAUUGUCGAAGAUAAAGUGAUAAAAUUUUGUCGAGCUGACGAUAUCGAUGAUUGUGAAGCAUACGGAUAUAAUAAAAAU